rnacentral:rRNA from 1 species
GACGAACGCUGGCGGCGUGCUUAACACAUGCAAGUCGAGCGGAAAGGCCACUUCGGUGGUACUCGAGCGGCGAACGGGUGAGUAACACGUGAGUGAUCUGCCCCUGGCUUUGGGAUAGCCACCGGAAACGGUGAUUAAUACCGGAUAUGACCACCUCACGCAUGUGAUGGUGGUGGAAAGUUUUUCGGCCAGGGAUGUGCUCGCGGCCUAUCAGCUUGAUGGUGAGGUAAUGGCUCACCAUGGGUUCGACGGGUAGCCGGCCUGGGAGGGUGACCGGUCACACUGGGACUGAGACACGGCCCAGACUCCUACGGGAGGCAGCAGUGGGGAAUAUUGGACAAUGGGCGGAAGCCUGAUCCAGCAACGCCGCGUGAGGGAUGACGGCCUUCGGGUUGUAAACCUCUUUCGCCUGUGACGAAGCGCAAGUGACGGUAACAGGUAAAGAAGCACCGGCCAACUACGUGCCAGCCGCCGCAGUAAAAC